AAGUGCGGAGCCCUAACCACUGGACCGCCAGGGAAUUCCCCACGGAUGCUGUUGAGAGGAAGGUGAUUUGCAUCCUUGGCACCUUGACAGGACUCAAAUGGAGCACAGUCCCAUCGAACAUCCAACUGCAACUGUGUCCAAGGAUGCCUCUUUGCAGGAUGCCAAGAGAAUUUGAGACUCUUCUCAAAAUCUUCUGACUCGUCUGCCUGUGAUUUCCAGCCUGAAUUAAGUGAUGCUUGUUGGUGAUGCAGUUGUUUUGGCAAUUCUCAGUCAUUUGCAUUUCCAUAUGAAGUUUAGAAUCAGUCUGUCAAUUCCCAGAAAAAGGCCAGCUGGGAUUUUGGUUGGGAUUGUACUGAAUUUAUAAAUUAAUUUGGAGAGAAUUAACAUCCUAACAAUGUUGAGUCGUCUAAUCCAUGAACAAGGUAUCUCUCAUUUUAUUUAGGUCUUUUAAAAUUUCUUUCAACAAAGUUUUGUAGCUAUCAAUGGACAGGUCUUUCACAUAUUUUGUGGGGGUCUGAAUUGCUGACUGUAAUUGUGGGUUUGUCUACUUCUCACAGUUCUAUCAGUUUUUGUUUCAUGUACUUGGAAGCACUGUUAUUAGGUGCAUAAACACUUAAGAUUGUUAUGUGCUUAUGUGAAUUGAGCCUUUUAUCGUCAUGA